rnacentral:lncRNA from 1 species
GCAGCCAUGUACCUCACAUCAGUCAAAAAUGGUGUGGUCUGUUCAUUUUUUCUCUGGUUUAAAUGUCCUGUUUGAACGCAGACCAUCACUCGACCGUUUUGCUGUUCCUGUAUUGCCCAGAGCGUAUGGCCUCGAGAAUGCUGCAGUUCUAAUAUGAAACUACAGUAAGCACCUGUAUGGAGUUGUAUAGAAUGCCGCAGCUCAAUAAACCAACUCGAAGGUUUCAUGAGCAGCCCACAGAUGAAUAUCUCAAUCCAGCUGUUCACCACGAUAGGCCUGUUCCGGAGUUCAGCAGUGUUGUGAAACCAACUGUUGGUGUGGAUAUUCUGAGUAGCUCAGCAUGGAGCGCUGUUGUGCAUCAUCCAGCCGAGGACUCCGAACCGGAAGAUCUUCCAUCUACGGUCGAUAUGGAUGCCAUCAAAGAGCCAGCUACUCCAAUGCCUGGUGCACCGAUGACUCCCUUAACCCCUGCCCCUGCAAAUGACGGUGAUACAGAUAGUACUGACGGAGACUCUGAUUCUGACAGCGAGACAACUGGUUCAAAUUCUGAGUCAGAGGAUAAGGAUGAAUCAGGAAGUGACUCAUAUAGUGCAAGCGGUAGUGAUUCUAGCAGUGAAAGCAACGAAAAUAGCAUAGCCGGUGACCAUGCGGGCAUUCUUGGAGAUGCAGACUCUGACUCGGAAACAGAAUCAACUGCGCCAUCGUCAUCAUCUCGCUUUCCAUCAAGAGAAACAAACAAUGAUCAGUCUGCUGGAAAAUCAAAGCAGUCACAAUCAACGACUUCAACUGAUGAUUCUGACUCAGAUUCGCAGCAAUCUGAGAACUCUUCAUCUGAUGAUGAUAGUGACAGAGAUGAUGAUAAUGAUGAUACGGAUGAUUCAGAUGAUGAUGGAGGAAGUGAACACAGAAAGGAAGAGAAAAUUAAGCAACCAACCAAAGAAUUAGAUAAAGAGAAAUCAAUGUCAACAACUGGAAAGCUACAGUUGCAGGAAACCAAGGAAAAAGAUCUAACCACAAAUGCACUGGAGGUUGAAAAAAGCCGGAAAGUCAACAGUGGCUCUGAAGAAGCCAAAGAAUCACAACAACGUAGUGAUUCAACUCGCUCCAAUGUGAGGAAUAGAGCCUUUAAGGACAAAACCAAUGCCAAAGAGUCUUCCUCUAGCUCUGAAUCCGACAAUGAAACUAAAAAAAGGCAACCUAGUCCUGUUGGAACGAAAAAAGUGAACCGCACUUCCUCUCUAUCACAACAAGCUCUUGAAAAGAAAGACCCACUGAGGCAAGCUGUAGAAAAUCGUCAACUGAGGCAGCCUGCCAAAAAAGUCACCAGCAGUAUUAGCAUCAAAGUUGACUCAAGUAAUGAGUUGAAUCCUAGAGUUGUGAAGCGAAAGCGGGGGAGACCCCCAAAAAAUCCGCAGCAAAAUCAAAACAAUGCCAUGAUGCCAGAGUUGGAGGCAUUCAUGCGACUGGACUGUUCUGUGUCUCACGUCUCGCCAGACUCUGGGAUUCAAUCUGUCGCUGGAUCUCCGUCUCAUCAGUCCUGCUCUCCUGCAUCCAAUCCUCCAGCACACUCACCAGCUCCCUCGCACCAUUCCCCAUUUGCUCCCGUUCUCCAUUCUCCUGCUCCCAUCAUGUCUUGCAAAGCACCCUUUCCUCUACCCCCUAGUCUAGUUCCGUACUCUUCGUCAGCAAACCCAGCGGUUUUAAAACUUAAUGCCAAAAAUGUUGACCCUGGGAAACUCAAUGCAUCGCCAGCUAGAAGCAGAAAAUACAAGUCUUCAAGUACCGCACACUCCAUAAUGUCAGAUAUUAAGAAUAUGUCUUCAUCACGAAUUUAUCAAACAAUACAGAAAGAAUGUCAUAAACGAGGUCCUGGUAGGCCCAAAGGAUCUAAUAGAAAAAACAAGCAAGACAAAAGACAAAGUUUUUCUACCAAAGAUUGCAAGCAAAUCAUCAAAGGUGUUCCAUCCUUUAAUUACUCCAAAAGUAUUGUCAACAUAGUCGAACAAGGAGGCUCCAACCUUUCUAGUUUAUUACUGUCUGGUAAACGAGGGCCAGGACGGCCAAAGAAAAUAUCAAAUCUAGAUUCAAACUCAGCUGCUGUUGUCCAGUUAAACUCUGGCGGAAGAAACAAAAAAGAAUCAGAUUCAGUCAGCGGUGGCUCAGAAGUAUCUAAAGCUAAAGCUGUUGCGAAAACAGGGGCUGUGGCUCUGCAUGUCAAAAGAGAUCAUUUAGAUGUCAAAAAACUAGUUGAUAAACAAAUAUCAAUCACAAAGAAAAGUUUUCUCACUUUACGCAAGAAGCAAAGGAAACGGCCUGAAAAUGGGCGUCACCAUCACCACCACCAUCAUAAGAUGAAGCACCGACACAAGCACAAGAGUAAAUCAAAAUUAGGGAGCUUUGAUCCGAAGCUAUUGGUUGAUAUUGAAAAAUUGGUUCAAGAGUUCAGUCGAUCAUGUAUAAUUAAAGAAGAGACAGACAAAACUUCAUAUUCGCUUUGUCCUUCAACAGUUUUGAGAAUGCGGAACCGAGAGAGGCGAAACGGAAAGGUAGUGAAAGAUCUCGGACUAGUGAUAAAGAGUCAGGUCCCGAAAAUGAACCAGUUCUUAACAAAAAUGGUGCACCAUCAGCGACUUCCGUGCCUGCUCAUCCUCCCCUCAGCAACAACAAAAGGAGAGUGA